GAGUAAUACAAGUGUUUCCGCAAAAAAAAACUUUGCCCCUUUUCUUUUCUUUUUUUUACGAAAACUUCAGCUUUGUUUGCAUACAUGGGCAGAGACAUGAAUGGUUUACUCCGCGGCGGCUGUGGCCCCAUACGGACUACUCCCUCCGUUUUUAGAUAUAAAUUUUUGUAGAUUUCAAUAGGCCAGCGCUAGCCGGUCCAGCCCAGGCCGUUGGAUUUAAGCCGUGCGACCGUUGGAUCCGGGCAAAAAAAAGCAAACAAAUCGCCCCAGCUUCUUCUUCCUUCCUCCGCGUACGCAUCUAGCCGUCAUGGAUGAGCGAGGCCCCCGACUCGAAGCACCACCCGGCUUGGCCGCCCCCAACGCCGGUCACCGCCCUCGCCACCGGUUGCUGCCCUCGCCGUAGGUUGCCUCCUUCGCACGCGCGUCACUGCUCCUCCCAACCAUCUCACUUGUUCGCAGCUUCCGUCGUGGUCGGAUCCCCCGCCAAACUUGGCCAUGGCUGACACGGAGCCUCCGUCGGCAGCGGUUGAAGCUCCCCGCCCCCGUGGUUGCAGCAUCUGGUGCACCACCCCCCUCCGUCCUCGCCGUCGAGCUCGCCGCAGGCGUCGCCGUCUCUGCUGGCCUCCAUCGACAUGCAUCGUACCUACAGAAUUCCAGUGGUUGAUUGAAGCAAAAUCAAACAACGCUUGCAGCAAAACCAAACUUAGGUUCCAGCAAAAAUGACAUGAAACAUUUGAGAGCUCUGCAGCCGAUGAAGCAAAAAAUUACAUCUGUUCCAGCAAAACAAUACAUCGGUUCCAGCAAAAACAAAAAUUUUGGUUCUGUAAAAAAGAAAAAAACAUCAGCAAAAACGGCCACCCCCUUCUUGCAGCUCCCCUGGUCACCGGUUGUAGCUCCAGCGUACAUGGUUGCAACUCCCGGUGUUUGAACGACGUUGGAUGCAGCCCUCCUCCCCACUGGAUGCAGCUUCCUCCGGCGAGGUGUCAACCUUGCAGCACAGCCACCAGCUGGUUCCAGCAAAUCGGGACACCGCUUCCAGCAAAAAUGAAAAAAGUUCAUCAAAUCAAAUGAGGAUGGUAGCAAAAAAGAAAAGGGUUGUAGCAAAACUAAUGAGUGGAUCCAGCAAAUAAAAAAUCUGGUUCCACCAACCCUCCGGCUCCAGCACAGACUCGUCGCUGCCGUGGCCGAUUGCAGCUUGGUCAUGGUGAACUAACGAAGCCCUGGCUAUGGUUACCAUGGAGAGGGCGUUCGUCCAGUUGCCGGCGGACAAGGCGACGAGCGCGCCCCUGGCUGUCGGCGGCCAUGGAGAGGGGUGAAUCCGGCGCCGGUGAUCCGCGCAUGAUUCAAAACGAGGAGCAUCGAGUUGCCGGCAGCUAUGGCGACGAGCGCGCCCGGGAUGCGAGUGGAUGGGGAGGAAGACGCGACUGGAUAAGGAAGGAGAUGAGCAACGAAGGGAUAAGAAAAAAAAGCCACGCGUGUCGCGGGCGGUGCGCGGACCCCAACAGCCUCGCAUUUGU
rnacentral:rRNA from 1 species